GACGAACGCUGGCGGCGUGCCUAAUACAUGCAAGUAGAACGCAUUUGCAAACGGGUGAGUAACGCGUAGGUAACUGCCUGGUAGCCGGGGCUCACUAUUGGAAACGAUAGCUAAUACCGCAUACUACCAGAUUGUCCUGCGUUGUAUUAGCUAGUUGGUGGGGUAACGGCGCACAAAGGCAACGAUACAUAGCGGACCUGAGAGGGUGAUCGGCAACACGGGGACUGAGAGACGGACCGGACUCCGACGGGAGGCAGCAGUAGGGAAUCUUCGGCAAUGGACGGAAGUCUGACCGGGCAACGCCGCGGGAGUGAAGAAGGUUUUCGGAUCGUAAAGCUCUGUUGUAAGAGAAGCGGUAUCUUACCAGAAAGGGACGGCUAACUACGUGCCAGCAGCCGCGGUAAUUC
rnacentral:rRNA from 1 species